rnacentral:rRNA from 1 species
CCCCUAGAUGUUCUGGGCCGCACGCGCGCUACACGGAACAGUUCAACAAGUCUUAACCUUGGCCGAUAGGUCUGGGUAAUCUUUGAACGCUGUUCGUGAUUGGGAUAGACCUUUGCAAUUAUGGGUCUUCAACGAGGAAUUCCUAGUAAACGCAAGUCAUCAGCUUGCAUUGAUUACGUCCCUGCCCUUUGUACACACCGCCCGUCGCACCUACCGAUUGAAUGGUCCGGUGAAAUCUCGGGACGGCGGCUUGGUCGCUUGCGUCCGACUGCUGAAACUUGAUUAAACCAUAUCAUUUAGAGGAAGGUGAAGUCGUAACA